rnacentral:rRNA from 1 species
UACGGGGGGGGGCAAGCGUUGUUCGGAAUUACUGGGCGUAAAGGGCUCGUAGGCGGCCAACUAAGUCAGACGUGAAAUCCCUCGGCUUAACCGGGGAACUGCACCUGAUACUGGAUGGCUUGAGUUCGGGAGAGGGAUGCGGAAUUCCAGGUGUAGCGGUGAAAUGCGUAGAUAUCUGGAGGAACACCGGUGGCGAAGGCGGCUAUCCGUCGGAUCC